rnacentral:rRNA from 1 species
UACGGAGGGGGCUAGCGUUGUUCGGAAUUACUGGGGGUAAAGCGCGCGUAGGCGGACCUGCAAGUCGGGGGUGAAAGCCCGAGGCUCAACCUCGGAACUGCCUUCGAUACUGCGGGUCUCGAGUCCGGGAGAGGUGAGUGGAAUUCCUAGUGUAGAGGUGAAAUUCGUAGAUAUUAGGAAGAACACCAGUGGCGAAGGCGGCUCACUGGCCCGGUACUGACGCUGAGGCGCGAAAGCGUGGGGAGCAAACAGG